UACGUAGGGUGCAAGCGUUGUCCGGAAUUAUUGGGCGUAAAGAGCUCGUAGGCGGCUUGUCGCGUCUGCCGUGAAAGUCCGGGGCUCAACUCCGGAUCUGCGGUGGGUACGGGCAGACUAGAGUGAUGUAGGGGAGACUGGAAUUCCUGGUGUAGCGGUGAAAUGCGCAGAUAUCAGGAGGAACACCGAUGGCGAAGGCAGGUCUCUGGGCAUUAACUGACGCUGAGGAGCGAAAGCAUGGGGAGCGAACAGG
rnacentral:rRNA from 1 species